rnacentral:rRNA from 1 species
CCAGCAGCUGCGGUAAUUCCAGCUCCAGGAGCGUAUAUUAAAGUUGCUGCGGUUGAAAAGCUCGUAGUUGAAGUGGUGCCCUUCGGACGGUCUGGUUGCCGUAAGGCGAGCGGGCGUGCGGCGGCAUUUAUGUAAAUAUUUCUGAUCUUGCAAAGGAGCAGAAAGCGGUUACCUUGAUCAAAACAGAGUGCUCAAAGCAGGCUUUCAGCUUGAAUGGUGGAGCUAGGAAUAACAAAGCAGGACAGGCGUCUGGUUUCGUUGGGUUUUGACAGAGCUUGUAAUGAUUAAAAGGGGCAGUUGGGGACAUUCGUAUUCGGUGGCGAGAGGUGAAAUUCUUUGACCCUCCGAAGACGAACUAGUGCGAAGGCAUUUGUCAAGGAUGUUUUCAUUAAUCAAGAACGAAAGU